rnacentral:lncRNA from 1 species
UCAGAUCAAAUCAGCUCCGCUGCUUCACGCGCGAAUGUCCGGGGACAUGAUAGGAAUAGGAUGCACUGGGAUCUGUAGUUGUACAAUGUACAUCCGCAAAACCGAGCUGGAUGCUUCACCAGUCGGUCUGUCGGUGCUUCGAGUUUGUGCCGCGCAUGCUCUCAGUGCUCGUAGCGAUGGCGUAAUGGCGGUAUAUCUGGCCAGCUUGACUAGAUACAGCGGGGCUCAAAGGGUUAAUGGUGCUCCUUUGCUCUUUGUUGCAUCCGCUGACGUGAGUGCGGCGCAUUGAGACACGAGUUUUAAAAAUUAUCAUGUUAUAUUUAUUUUUAUGUGAUGGAAAGAGGAAAGGAAAAAGAUAAAAAUAGGUUAUAGAUUUAUAACCUAAUACAGCACAAGCUUUAGACACUAAGUGCGUAUGAGAGGUAGACUGUAUACUAAAGAUAU